CAGCGAAAGUUGUACUAAUACCGCAUAAGACCACAACGGGACAUCCCGAAGGGGUCAAAGGAGCAAUCCGGUGAAGGGUGGGCUCGCGUCCGAUUAGAUAGUUGGUGAGGUAACGGCCCACCAAGUCGACGAUCGGUAGCCGACCUGAGAGGGUGAUCGGCCACAUUGGGACUGAGACACGGCCCAAACUCCUACGGGAGGCAGCAGUGGGGAAUAUUGGGCAAUGGGGGAAACCCUGACCCAGCAACGCCGCGUGAGGGAAGAAGGUUUUCGGAUCGUAAACCUCUGUCCUUGGUGAAGAGGAAGAGACGGUAGCCAAGGAGGAAGCCCCGGCUAACUACGUGCCAGCAGCCGCGGUAAUACGUAGGGGGCGAGCGUUGUCCGGAAUGAUUGGGCGUAAAGGGCGCGUAGGCGGCCCGGUAAGUCUGGAGUGAAAGUCCUGUUUUUAAGAUGGGAAUUGCUUUGGAUACUGUCGGGCUUGAGUGCAGGAGAGGUAAGUGGAAUUCCCAGUGUAGCGGUGAAAUGCGUAGAGAUUGGGAGGAACACCAGUGGCGAAGGCGACUUACUGGACUGUAACUGACGCUGAGGCGCGAAAGUGUGGGGAGCAAACAGGAUUAGAUACCCUGGUAGUCCACACUGUAAACGAUGAAUGCUAGGUGUAGGGGGUAUCGACCCCUUCUGUGCCGCAGUUAACACAAUA
rnacentral:rRNA from 1 species